rnacentral:rRNA from 1 species
GAUUUCUGACGAACCGGAGUGGCCCGUUUCCUUUCUGGGAAUGAGUGCCGCUUUGAGUUUGUCAUCCUUCCAGAGAGCUGCGUCUACCGUUCAUUCGGCCGGACGUAUGCGAUCUGGAUCUAUUACUUUGAAAAAAUUAGAGUGUUUAAAGCAGGCUUUUUGCUAUGAAUACAUUAGCAUGGAAUAAUAAUUUAGGACUUUGGCCCUAUUUUGUUGGUUUCUAGGACUGAAGUAAUGAUUGAUAGGGAUAGUUGGGGGUGCUCGAAUUCAGCGGCCAGAGGUGAAAUUCUUGGAUUCGCUGAAGACGAACUCAUGCGAAAGCAUU